GACUAAAUAUCAGUUGAAAAUAUAGAUGACUGAUAUGGUGGAUAAUAUUACAGUAGUGUUCAUGGAAUUUGGAGGCUACCUUCAGUUCAGAUAUUAUUUACUAUAAUUAUAUAUUAUCAUUUAAAUAUUAUUUAUUCAUUCAAUAAGUAUUUAUUGUACACUAAUAUGGAUACCGAAGAAAGAGCACAAAAUGACAUUCUUCACACUUAAGAAAUUCAGGAGGAAAUAUGUGAGUAGUUAGGAAAUUAUAAUAUGGCGUAAGAUGAAAAGACACUGGAUUCACAUUGAGAAACUGCUCAGCCUGUCAUGGAAAUCAGAGAGGUUACACAUAAGCUGACAGCUCAAAGAAGAUAAAAAAUCGAUCAGUUAACGAAUAUAAAGAAGAAAUAUGAAGAGUGGCAUGUUCUAGGCAUAGGAAGGAGUAUACAUGACAAGCCAGAUGAAAUAUUUGGAAAAUUUUUAGAAAUCUAGAGUGACUAUUUAUUCAGGAGGGGAAAAUGCAAAACUCAGACCAUAGGAAAAGAAGGGUUUGUCAUCUGUCUCAACAAGAUUAAUUCUGAAGAUGGUGGGGGAUCCUCUGAAGAGUUUUAGGUAGGGUAAUGACAUAUUCUAAGUUUGCAUGCAAGAAAGAUCCCUCUGUAUUAUGGAUGAUUUGAGUCUGUGCUAGACUAGAGGCAUAGUGAAUUGAAGAAAUCUAGAUAAGAGACAGUGUUUGUUUAAAUUUAUUUGACAGGUAGAGUUAUAGACGGUGAGGGAGAGAGACAGAGAGAAAGGUCUUCCUUCUGUUGGUUCACUCCCCAAAUGGCAGCUACAGCCGGCACUGCGGCGAUCUGAAGCCAGGAGCUAGGUGCCUCUUCCGGUCUCCCAUGCGGGUGCAGGGGCCCAAGCACUUGGGCCAUCCUCCACUGCCCUCCUGGGCCACAGCAGAGAGCUGGACUGGAAGAGAAGCAACCAGGACUAGAACCGGGCACCCAUAUGGGAUGCUGGCGCCACAGGCAGAGGAUUAACCAAGUGAGCCACGGCGCCGGCCUUGAGAUGGUAUUUUAAGGACAAGAAAAAUGGAAGGAUUCAAGACAUAUUUUGGAAGGAAAGAACCACCAGAAUUUAAAAAUAAUUGAAUAUGCAGAGUAAAAGAAGAACUCAUAGAAGACUCUGACAUUGUAGGUUUUAGGAAAUUGUGUAGAGCAUGGAAAUUUGGUAGAGCUGAGGAAUCAAGAGAGUGAGCAAAAUUGAGAAAAGAUGACAUGAUGGUUUUAACCAAAUGAAUUUGAGAUAUCUGAAGACUCUUAAGCCAGUCCAAGGGCAGAUAAUGUAUUCACCUGGUGUAAAUAUUUAGGAGCUAUCAGAAUCCAUAUAACUUAAGAUAAGACAUAGGAUAUAGUGCUUACCUAGGAAACUUGUAAAGUUUGAGAAGAGGAAGAGACAGAUCUUUAGACAGUUUCAAUAUUUUAAAAGUGGACCAAAAAAAAAAAAAUAGCUCUUCUUACAAAGUAAAUCAAAAGGGUAUAAACAAACCACCACCAACAACAACAACAAUAAAUCCAGGAGCUUGUGUGUAUGAAAGCCAAAGGAUUUGGUGAGCUUGACCAAUAAGGGAAAUGCUGUAAACAAGUUAGACGAGUAAUAACAGCUGCUGAUCAAAGUUAUCAAAAAGGAGGUUAGAUGACUUGGAUAAAACCCUAAGAUCAAGAAUAGUAACAAAAGGGAUGACCAGACAAUAUUUAGGCAACAACAACAAAAGUACUGUAGAAUUUCACUGACCAGUUCAUCAUACAGAGUUAAAAAAUAAAACAGGAUAAACAAUCGAAAGAAUAACACCUCAGAGAUUUGAAUCUGAAAGAAUGAGAAGACGAUAAAAAUAGGCACUUUUAUCUUCUCUUUAGAAAUAGUAUUAAGUAUGUUUUAUACUUUAUGAUUAUUGAAAGACAUUCGUAAAUUUACUUCAACAUACUUUAGAACUGCAGAUUUCAGACACAAUCUGUAAACUGCUGUACCAGCAUUUCAAUAUAUUUCUUUUUCACAUUAUCCUUUCUCAAUACUAUGUUUUUGGCAAUUCUUUUCAUUUUCACUAUCUGAUCACAAACUUAUAUUUCCCACUCAACUACUGAGGAAAAUCUAAUAAAAAUUGAAUAUGUAGUAAGAAAAAGUUAGGCCUCACUUUCAACCUCAUUGAGAUAGAUUUUUUUUCUUAGCUUCCAUGAAUUACAUCAGUGAAUCAACCUGGUUUAAGUUCCAUGUAACUUCAGGUAGUAAUGAGACUGUGGUUUUAGGUGACGGCUCCGAGAGUAAAAAUGACUGUGGACUUCUGCAGCAAGGGUGGAUUCAUAAAUUGCUGAGGUAAUGUGAUCAUGGCAUAUAAUUCAGUGCAACAUAUUCUUUUCAAAUGUCUCAUAAUUAACAUUUCUUGUAGAAAAUUUAAAAGGACAUAUUGGCCUACCAUCACAAUUUUAUCAUUGGAAACAUUUUCUCUGAAUUAAAGAUUCAUGGUAUACUUUAAGUCAUAUCUCCUAGAGCUUACAUAUAAUGUAGAAAACUCUGCCAUGAACCAUUUGCUGAUAGCAAUCUCUUUUCUAUAAUGUUAUCAUAGAAAAUCCCUCACUUGUGGUAUAUUUCAGCAUCUGUUAUUAAUUUAUCAUUAGGUUAUAUUCUCAUUUUAGCCAUCACAUGCGAUGACAUUAAUUAGCCUCCACUAAACAGGGCUUCACAACCUGUACAGUUUGACUCAGGAUCUUGCUGUUUUAUUAGCAAUUCUGACCUUGCCUUCCCAAUGGACCUGUUCAAUUAAAGGGAAUAACCUUAUCUUUUCAUAUACAGUACCCUUAUGGUAUCUUUUCUUUUCUUUUUUUUUUUAAAGAUUUAUUUAUUUAUUUGAAAGACAGAGUUACACAGAGAGAGGAGAGGCAGAGAGAGAGAACGAGGUCCUCCAUCAAAGGUUCCCCAGAUGGCCGCAAUGGCCGGAGUUGUGCCGAUCCGAAGGCAGGAUCCAGGAGCUUCUUCCGGGUCUCCCGCAUGGGUGCAGAGGCCCAAAGACUUGGGCCAUCUUCCACUGCUAUCCCAGGCCAUAGCAGAGAGCUGGAUUGGAAGUGGAGCAGCCGGGUCUCAAACCAGUGCCCUUAUGGGAUACCGGCGCUUCAGGCCAGGGCAUUAACCCGCUGAACCACAGCACCGACCCCCUGGUAUCUUUUCUUAGCUGAACCUUGUAUAUGCUCAAGAGACAAGUAUGCAUGAUGCCACGGAAGAACCGUUAUGAUGUAAUAGGUAUGUGGCUUUGGAGAUAUUUCAUUUAAGUUUAUGAGGCAGGAGCAAAACUGUAAAGUAUACUUGAGCACAUAAAUAUUAGAUAUUGUUUCUAUAAAAGAAAAACCCAACACGAUAUUUUUUCCCCUUUAUUUCAGACAUGAGGAAGUGGAGACCCUAGGAAAACCAUUGACUUGAAAUUAUUCAGUUCUGUUCUUGCCCAAUUUGCAGCAGUAACAAAAGAACAUGAAAAGCAUUUUCUAGUCCUGACACAAGGACAGUGCAUACAGGGACUAGGACCAACAAAUCUGGACUAGCAGCAAGCAGGAAGUAAGAUUUCAGCAUGGUAGCGGAGAGAUUAUUGGGAAAGGACGAAUUGGAAGCCUGGAAGGAAAAGAUAGAGACAGUGAAAGAGAGAGACAGAGAGAAAGGUCUUCCCUCCGUUGGUUCACUCCCCAAAUGGCCGCUAUGGCCAGAGCUACGCCGAUUCGAAGCCAGGAGCCAGGUUCUUCUUCCUGGUCUCCCAUGCGGGUGCAGGGGCCCAAGCACUUGGGCCAUCCUCCACUGCCUUCCCGGGCCACAGCAGAGAAUUGGACCAGAAGAGGAGCAACCGAGACUAGAACCCGGCGCCCAUAUGGGAUGCCAGUGCCACAGGCGGAGAAUUAACUAAGUGAGCCACGGCGCCAGCCCCUUAAUUUUUAAUCAUCAUGUAAUUGCUGUGAUUUUUAUGGAGUACAGACACACAGACACAGCAUAAUCUGAUCAUAUCAGACAAUUAACCUUUCAAUUUUCUUGUCUUGUCUUUGUCUGUGGAGCCUACCAGAUUCUCUAUUAUAAUUCUUUAUAAAGAAUGUAACACAUUAUUGUGGAUUUCAGUUACCCCACUUUGCUGCAGAACACCAGACCCAUUAUCUUCAUACAGCUGCUUUUGGUAUUCAUUAUAUAAUCUCUCUCCAUCCAUGUUCCUACAACCUUCCCAGUCACACUAUGCUAAAUUCACAUUGACUAUCUACAUUUAACUUCCACAUAAGAGAGAAAGCAUGCAGCAUUCCUCUUUUUGUGUUUGGCUUAUUUCGUUUAAUGCGUGGAACUUAAGAUCAUUAUAUUAAGUGAAAUACCACCAUUCUAAUUUCAAAUUGUUAUGACCUGAUGAUUCCCAAGACACCUGAAAGUUCCUUAUAUUAGAAGGCGGAGUUAUAGCAAAGACCCAUCAGCAUGGGGUUGAAAUUGAGGAAGUCAAAUAGACUUGUGGGAACGGUUUUCUUAGUACAUACCUAUCACCAUCUAUAAGGACAUGAGAAUAUUUGGUUUUAGCUACUAUUAUCUUAUGAAGCGUAGCAAAACCCCAUCCCACAUACCCACCAACUUAUUGGUUUGCUAGGAAACAGGAAGGUUCAACAGGAGCUGCCAAUACAUAGUCUUUUUUUGAGUUUUAUACAGAUGCAUGGUUAACAUUCAUUUUACAUGUACACACACACACACACACUCUGGCUGUUCUAUAAAAUCAGAAUCAAAAUGCAGUGAGCGUGGCUAAAAGCUAAUUGCAGAUCUCUUGCGUCUGUGCAUAUUAGCUUUGCUUGCUAAUAUCUGAGGGUGUAUCCUGUGAAACUAUGUGGACCCAAAUUCCCAGGAACUAGGUUGGCCGAAAUGUGUCCCUCACUGUUAUCUUACCACCAUAUCUUGGAUCUGUUACUGGGUUUGUUAUUGUUAACUGUUAUCUUGCAACCAUAUUCUGGUUUUCCUCUUUAUUGUUCACUGCAUACCAGGGGUCUGGUUUGAAAUUGUGAGCCCUAGUGGAUAGAAUAUUAUAAAAAGUUAGGUAACCUGCUGUUGGGGGCCGCACACUGGUGAGGAGUGUUGGUCCUGAUCGGUGGCCGGUCCCGAUUGGUUACCUUGCCUCUCAUUUGUCUUUCAUUUGCUUCUCAUUUUCAAUAAAAUUCAUGCGUGACUGUCACUGGUUUUUGUAACAUUUUAUUUUAGUUGACGAGUUCUUCCCCAUCCUGUUGAUAUAGGAGCCACUGCAAAGCAUUAAAGAUGAAUCAUUAUAUGAUUACUAUAUUAUUAUGGGAGGGAAGAACAAAGCCUUUUAAAGAAGUUAAGAGUCUGCCUGAAUUUGAACUUUGUGUUGGUUUCUAAUAUUGUGAUCUGGACAACUUUCCUUCAUCAUAGUUUGUUCAUCCAUAAAAAGAGAUUUGCUGUAAAUAAUAAAGAGAUGAGGAAUGUUUUCUAGAACAUGUUACUCCAAAAGCCUACACUGAGAAAAACAUUCAAAUGUCAGUCAUUUAUUUUGAAAGUUAUUCCAUAAAACAGCAAGGGAGUAGGAGACUGAACCAGCGAAGGGAAAGACAAAAUUUAAGAGCAUGUUGUCAGGGAAGUUAUUGCUUUGGUUAACUGAAAUUCAAUCCCAAUUGGGCUGUGGGAGACCAUAAUAAAUACAGCCAAGUAAUUCUGACUGAAGGCAAGGAUGCAGAACAUUAUUGACCCAUUCUUUAUAUUAUUGGCUAAAGGUUACAUUAUGGGAAUUAAAUCUUAAGAACUUAUGCCUGUACCAAAUGUGUGCCUACGACUGGGACCUUGUAGCCAGAAGGGAAACCCUCAAGUUCAGAGAGUCAGAGAUGUUCUCUGAAAGCAGACUUUGGUUGGAAGAGGAGAAUGCUGAUUUAGAUUCUCUGCAACACAUAAAAUGUGCAGAACUGUGCCUUGAAAAUAUUGAGCCCAUUAAUAUCUAAAUCUUAUGGUUAUUUUCCAUUUUAAAUGUGAAUGAAUUAUAUUAUUUAAAAAUUAAUGUGCUGGUCUUUGACUCCAAACAUGAUACAAGUUUCUCAGAAAUUCUUGACACUUAUUUCUGACUGCAGAUGCCUCUCUACUUACAAUUGUGACACACUCAUAUAUACUCAUCAGCAACUGAAAAUAAAUAGUUAUAUACCUAACCUACUUU